GCCAUGCACAAAAGCCCCAACGGU
rnacentral:siRNA from 1 species